rnacentral:rRNA from 1 species
CCUACGGGAGGCAGCAGUGGGGAAUUUUGCGCAAUGCUCGUAAGAGUGACGCAGCGACGCCGCGUGAAUGACGAAGGCCUUCGGGUCGUAAAGUUCUUUCGACAGGGAAGAAAAUGCCUAUAAGUAACUGUGUAUGUAUUGACGGUACCUGUAUAAGCAGCCCCGGCUAACUCCGUGCCAGCAGCCGCGGUAAUACGGAGGGGGCGAGCGUUGUUCGGAGUGACUGGGCGUAAAGAGCACGUAGGCGGUGUUGUAAGUCAUUAGUCAAAGACUAGAGCUCAACUUUAGUAAGGCUAGUGAUACUAUAAUACGAGAGUAUCAGAGAGGAUUGCAGAAGUCCUGGGGUAGCGGUGAAAUGCGUAGAUAUCAGGAGGAAUACCGUUAGCGAAGGCGGCAAUCUGGCUGGAAACUGACGCUGAGGUGCGAAAGCGUGGGUAGCAAACAGGAUUAGAUACCCCUGUAGUC